GAUGAACGCUGGCGGCGUGCCUAAUACAUGCAAGUAGAACGCUGAAGGAGGAGCUUGCUCUUCUGGAUGAGUUGCGAACGGGUGAGUAACGCGUAGGUAACCUGCCUGGUAGCGGGGGAUAACUAUUGGAAACGAUAGCUAAUACCGCAUGACAACAGUUAUUGCAUGAUAACUGUUUAAAAGGGGCAGCUGCUCCACUACCAGAUGGACCUGCGUUGUAUUAGCUAGUUGGUGAGGUAACGGCUCACCAAGGCGACGAUACAUAGCCGACCUGAGAGGGUGGUCGGCCACACUGGGACUGAGACACGGCCCAGACUCCUACGGGAGGCAGCAGUAGGGAAUCUUCGGCAAGGGACGGAAGUCUGACCGAGCAACGCCGCGUGAGUGAAGAAGGUUUUCGGAUCGUAAAGCUCUGUUGUAAGAGAAGAACGAGUGUGAGAGUGGAAAGUUCACACUGUGACGGUAUCUUACCAGAAAGGGACGGCUAACUACGUG
rnacentral:rRNA from 1 species